AUUUUAAAAUUAAAAUAAUGAGAUAUUCGCUUGCAUAGUAAAGAAAAAGAUUUUGAGAAUGAAGAUUUCUAUAGCUUUGUUUUUGCUAAAUGCGAUGUUAUUUAAAAAAGUGUUUUCUUGUAAUCCACCAGCAAAUACUGCCAAUGAUUGCCUAAAAAUUUGUGAACACACUAUAGAUUGUAUUUAUUUUACUUGGAAUCAAUUAAACCAUUUUUGUUUCCUUAAGGGAGGUGUUGGUUGGAGAAAAAUUCAAGUCGAAAACGCUGUAGGAGGUUAUGUUGGAGGAUCGAUUGAAGCAGGGGUUGAUUAUAAUGGAGGGGAUUUACCAAACUGUAUUUUCUAAUUAUUUUGUGAUAAAUUUAUGGCUCAUAAAAAA